GUAACUCAGUAGCAUAUUUCAAUGAUAUCCCCUGUCUAUUAUAUAGAUUGAGACAGAGAACGCAGAGUGAAAGGCUAAUAUUUGGAUUUAUUGACUAAAUAUGAAAUUGUAGGAAACAGAAAAACAAAUCCCAAAACUUAGGCAAAAACAGCUGACUGGGAACUGCUGGCCUUGUUUCAGUUUAGUGAGUAUACCCUUACACCGGCUGCAGCAGAGAGACUUGGUUGUGUGUUUGGCUGCAACGAAAGACUCCUAAACACAACUAUGAUACUCUGUAGUUAGGGUAGCGUGUUCCUUCAACAUUAACUGCAGCAGACGCUGAUU